rnacentral:lncRNA from 1 species
ACUCAAUAUCGAGUGAAUAAUAUUCAUCAGUUCAUCCAUCAAUAUUUAGUGUACAAUACACUGAUACAAAGAAGCACGAAAUUAAUACAACACUAGACGCAGCAAAAACAGUGCAAGCGCACACAAGAAGUAACAAGUAAGGGCACAUAAAGGAAAAGCACAAUCAUUCAUUAGGUUUUCGAAGGAUCGAUCACCGAGUGUCUCAUUGUCUAAGCUGGGCAGGAAUAAAGGCACACUCAGGAAGAGCAGAGCUCUGACAACCAUCAUAUUUCCUCUAUGAGGAAGAAAAUCAGACUUCUAUACAUGUCACUUAAUUAACAACCAAACUAGCUUAUGCAUGUGUGCAAGCAACAUUAUGUGCUGAUCAGCAGGACCGGGCGACCGGCAUAGCUCCAACAACAUUAAGAUCAGCAGCUACGCAGUUCAAUGGUGUCGGGUACGUACAGUAUAUAGAAGAUUGAACAAAAGAGUUGGUUAGAAUAAGAGUUGGCAACAUAAGUGCAGCUUAUAGGAUGCAGUAUGUACACUAGUUAAUGAAUGUAGUGAAAGACUGGUGCUCACCAUUUUCAUUUUUGAAAUAAGUACGGUUGCAGUAUCAGUGUCGGCAUACAACUAUAUAGCAGGCUCUUCAGGUAACAAUGUUUCAGGAGUUGUCUGAUCCUUGAAAAUAAACAUAGAGUUGUUAUUUAUUUUGAUAAGCCAGCUAAGAUUGACUAUCUAUCACCUUACAGUGAGAAAUUGCCCAUGAAUUUUCAAUGGAAAAAGUUCCGAAAGAAAUUAUCCAAGAACAUGUUAGAGAAGAAAUUGUUUAUGUUGAUAUGGUUAUCAAUGUGGAAGAAAACAUGCAGCCUCAAGUAAAUCAUUCAGAAUCAGAUAUCAAUAAAUAAUGCAAUUCUAAAUUCCUAGAAGAAUUCGUCCAAGUUGCAUAUGACAAACUCAUCUUUGACGUUGAGUUCAUGAUUGUGUCAUUAGAAUAUGACACGACUCACCCCAAAUUUCACCAUGAAACCCAGAGUAAGUCGUGCGGGGACCACCUUCAAGGAAAAUUUACCGAAAAAUCGGCAUAACCUCCCUUGAAAAUGAACAACCCUUCCUAAUAAUACCUGCAAACACUUCUGAAAAUUUAAAUCCAACCUUAAACUCCUGGAGCCUCCGUGCUCCCCAAAUCACAACACCACCCAAAUUAUUUACUAAUCUAAACAAAUAUCAUAUCCAACCAUUUACAGGUUCAGAGCAACUCUAACAGGAAGAAAGGAAACAUAAUAAAUUAACAAGCGGAAGCUAUAUGAUGACUAUGCCUCAUCCCCAUGUACGCCUGACCUCAACUAUGCAAUCCUGCAAACUGGGCAUUUUUAAAACAAAGAGCCCAGGGAAAAACAUUUGAAACACAUUAGAGUGAGUGGACAAAAAUAAAUUAACGAAUAAAAUAUUUAUGUUUCCCCAAAUCAAUUUCCAAAGAAAAUCGAAUGUAUGCUGCAAGCGAUAAAACUUUUAUCUCAUAAAUGUCGAGCCUCUCAGGCUCUAUAAUAUAUGUAUGUAUUUACAGACGUCCAUACUCCCUAUAUAAAUUAAUGGGUCUAUAUAGGGCUACUACGCUCGCGUCCAACGCUCACGUCACGCCUUAAUGCGGUGCUACACUACGCCAUUAAGGUGGACAGACGGGUGUAUAAAUAUGUGCUCAUACCCCCUAUAUGAAUUAAACACUCAUAUAGGGCUACUACGCUCGCGUCCAACGCUCACGUCACACCAUAAUGCGGCUAUAUGCUACGCCAUUAAGGUGGACAGACACAUAGGGCUAGCUAGCAUUUAUAUACAUACUCUCCUCAAUAUACAUAUUUAUACUCACCGAAAAAUCCCAUUUUUCGGUAACUCUUCAAGAGAAAUAAAAGCGUCACAAUUAAAUGACGUCAAAACUCCAAUAAUUUUAAAUGUUCAACCAAAACCAUAGCAUGCAUAUUAUUUAAAAUAAAAGUUCACUCACAACUUUAGGCAUAAGCCCGACGAAAUCCAAAUCGCCACUCCAAAGAGGUUUCCUCGAACCCUGGCACAAAUAUAAAAUUAAUUUCCCAACUAAAACUCCAAUAUUUAACAAAAUAGGCAAAAUUAACCGAGGGUCAUAGCUACGCUCAUCAUUGCCUAACUUUGAUAUUCUUAAAUCGAAACGAUCCGAACUUAAAUAUCAUACUCGGCAGCCGUAAUUACAACCUCCCCAAAAAUACGACUUAAAUACUAUGGCCUGAUUCUACAUUAAUUAAUCGCCAAAAAUACCACACUUCGGAAAUUCAUAAACCUAUCCAAAACUCAUCCAAAAAUAAAUCACUUCAACAAACUCCCCUUAAUAUUCUAAAUUUAAAACCCUAAAAAUCUUCCAAACAGUGGCGGCGCCGGCGCCGGCUCCGCCGGCAGCGCCGGCCGGAGGCCGAUUCCGACGACCUCCAAAUCCUACCAAAUUUUAACAGUAGCUUCCUCUCCACUCCCUCUACAACUUUCCUAACUAACACAAACCCAAAAUCCAAGCCUAACUAGGUCAAACGAGCAAAAACAUCUAAAACACCCUAGAACUUCCACCUCUAAUUUCUCCUUACCUGAAGCAAACCGGAGUGAGCCCUUUUAGGACAAGGCAGCUGGGUUUGAGACCUUCAAAACCAUACCAAGCUUGCCCGGAUUGGUGGCCGGAGGAGGGAGUUCCGGCAAAGUGAAGCUUUGGACAGUCGGACCUUUCGGGGGAGAGCGCUCCUUCACGGCAGAGCUAGGGAAGCUGCUACCGGUCCAGGGAGGUAGCUGGGAUGAUGGCCGACCGAACGAGACCGGUGUGGCAACGAACGGUGGCCGGACGGCGGCGGGAGGACGACUGGAAAACUGGGCAGCGGGAGGAGCUCGGGGAGAGAGAAAACCGGGAAGAAAAAAAAAAAGAGAAGGGAGAAAAUGGCUUUGGGCCUCCUCCCCCCAAACCGGUCCAACUUAAUACCCACUUGAAAACAAACCCAACUCCAAAAAUAAAACACCCCGAAAAAUAAUACCCGAAUAAAAAUUACCUUUUACUAUCUAAAAUUUACCAUUUUUACUGUUGUCAUAUUUUCUCCCACGAAUAAUUCCCCGAAAUUAAUCGUCCCUCAAAACACCUCUAGGGACCGAUUAAACUAUUACCUCAAUGACGGAGACGGUAAAAUUCUUAUUAUAACCAAGCUAAUAAAUAAGGUAAAAAUUUAAGGGUCGGGAUGUGACAGAAUAUGUAGAAGAUCAUGCCUUUAAUCCACAUGGUCAAUUGUCUAAUUUGUUAUUGGGUUUUUCGUCCACAUAAUCUCAUCUUGCAUCAGACUCCUCUACUUAAAAAGAACUCGACAUUGAGUUUAUUUUGAAUGAGAAACGAGAAUAUGUGAACGAAAAACCAAAUAACAAAUUAGACAAUUGACCAUGUGGAUUCAUGACACGAUCUUUUGCAUAUUCUAAUGGCAC